rnacentral:rRNA from 1 species
GCAAGUCGAGCGGACCUUUGGAGCUUGCUCCAUUGGUUUAGCGGCGGACGGGUGAGUAACACGUGGGCAACCUGCCCUGCAGAUCGGGAUAACUCCGGGAAACCGGUGCUAAUACCGAAUAGUUUUUUGCCCCUCCUGGGGCGAAACGGAAAGACGGUUUCGGCUGUCACUGCAGGAUGGGCCCGCGGCGCAUUAGCUAGUUGGUGGGGUAAUGGCCCACCAAGGCGACGAUGCGUAGCCGACCUGAGAGGGUGAUCGGCCACACUGGGACUGAGACACGGCCCAGACUCCUACGGGAGGCAGCAGUAGGGAAUCUUCCGCAAUGGACGCAAGUCUGACGGAGCAACGCCGCGUGAGUGACGAAGGUUUUCGGAUCGUAAAACUCUGUUGUGAGGGAAGAACAAGUACCAACUAACUACUGGUACCUUGACGGUACCUCACCAGAAAGCCACGGCUAACUACGUGCCAGCAGCCGCGGUAAUACGUAGGUGGCAAGCGUUGUCCGGAAUUAUUGGGCGUAAAGCGCGCGCAGGCGGUCCCUUAAGUCUGAUGUGAAAGCCCAC